rnacentral:ncRNA from 1 species
AUUCUUCUGGGGCCUCUUCAGAAGUUUAUUGGUCUGAAAAUAGAUGUGUGUUCUUAGUGACGUUUUAUUGUCCUUUGAUGCAUCUUGAGUAACUUGGUUAAAAUAACCCCAUGUUUGAUUUCUGCUGUGCCGCUUUUCAUUGCCAGCCAUGAUGCUUUCUUGGUAUGUUUCCUGUGAAGUUUGUCCCCGCUCCGGGGACAGCGUCAGGUGGGGAGUUUGACUGGGGCAGUACACCUGUCAAAGCAUAAUGCAGGUGUCCUAAGGCGACCUUGGGGAGGCUGGAAACCUCCUGUGGAGCAGAAGGGCAAAAGCUCACUUGAUCUAGAUUUUCAUUACGAGUACAGACCGUGAAAGCGGGGCCCUCACGAUCCUUCUGACUUUUUGUGGUUGAGGGAAAUCUUUUUGGAAGGGCAGGUGCGGCCCUGGAGGUGGCUGA